rnacentral:rRNA from 1 species
GAGUUUGAUCUUGGCUCAGAACGAACGCUGGCGGCAUGCCUAACACAUGCAAGUCGAACGGGAUCCGGACUUCGGUUCGGUGAGAGUGGCGGACGGGUGAGUAACGCGUGGGAACCUGCCCAGUGGUGGGGGAUAACUGCGGGAAACUGCAGCUAAUACCGCAUGAGCCCGAGAGGGGAAAGAUUUAUCGCCAUUGGAGGGGCCCGCGUUCGAUUAGGUAGUUGGUGGGGUAAUGGCCUACCAAGCCGACGAUCGAUAGCUGGUCUGAGAGGAUGAUCAGCCACACUGGGACUGAGAUACGGCCCAGACUCCUACGGGAGGCAGCAGUGGGGAAUAUUGGACAAUGGGGGCAACCCUGAUCCAGCAAUGCCGCGUGAGUGAUGAAGGCCUUCGGUU